rnacentral:rRNA from 1 species
GAAAGCGAUGCUAAUACCGGAUAAUAUCUUAAAAACCUCGGUUUUAAAGAUCAAAGGUGGCCUCUACAUGUAAGCUUCUGUUUGGGGAUGAGCCCGCGUACCAUUAGCUUGUUGGUAGGGUAAUGGCCUACCAAGGCUGCGAUGGUUAGCUGGUCUGAGAGGAUGAUCAGCCACACUGGAACUGACACACGGUCCAGACUCCUACGGGAGGCAGCAGUGAGGAAUUUUGCGCAAUGGGGGAAACCCUGACGCAGCAACGCCGCGUGAGUGAUGAAGGCUUUAGGGUCGUAAAGCUCUGUCAAGUGGGAAGAACCCACAUGGUGAUAAUACCGCCAUGUGCUGACGGUACCACUGAAGGAAGCACCGGCUAACUCCGUGCCAGCAGCCGCGGUAAUACGGGGGGUGCAAGCGUUAUUCGGAAUUACUGGGCGUAAAGAGCGCGUAGGCGGUCUCUUAAGUCGGAUGUGAAAGCCCGGGGCUCAACCCCGGAAGUGCACUCGAAACUAAGGGACUUGAGUAUGGGA